rnacentral:tRNA from 1 species
GGUGGCUCAGUGGUAGAGUGCUUAUCUUCCAUGUAUGAGGUCCUGGGUUCAAUUCCUCAGUACCA